rnacentral:rRNA from 1 species
UAUUCUAAGGCGCUUGAGAGAACUCAGGAGAAGGAACUCGGCAAAUUGACACCGUAACUUCGGAAGAAGGUGUGCCUUUAGUAGGUGAACCUGUACAAGGGGAGCCCAAUGAGGUUUCAAAAAAUCGGUGGCUGCGACUGUUUAAUAAAAACACAGCACUCUGCAAACACGAAAGUGGACGUAUAGGGUGUGACGCCUGCCCGGUGCUGGAAGAUUAAAUGAUGGGGUGCAAGCUCUUGAUUGAAGUCCCAGUAAACGGCGGCCGUAACAAUAACGGUCCUAAGGUAGCGAAAUUCCUUGUCGGGUAAGUUCCGACCUGCACGAAUGGCGUAACGAUGGCCACACUGUCUCCUCCUGAGACUCAGCGAAGUUGAAAUGUUUGUGAUGAUGCAAUCUCCCCGCGGAAAGACGAAAAGACCCCAUGAACCUUUACUGUAGCUUUGUAUUGGACUUUGAACAGAUCUGUGUAGGAUAGGUGGGAGGCUUUGAAGUGUGGUCGCUAGAUCGCAUGGAGCCAACGUUGAAAUACCACCCUGGUGUGUUUGAGGUUCUAACCUAGGCCCGUAAUCCGGGUCGGGGACAGUGCAUGGUAGGCAGUUUGACUGGGGCGGUCUCCUCCCAAAGCGUAACGGAGGAGUUCGAAGGUACGCUAGGUACGGUCGGACAUCGUGCUAAUAGUGCAAUGGCAUAAGCGUGCUUAACUGCGAGACUGACAAGUCGAGCAGAUGCGAAAGCAGGACAUAGUGAUCCGGUGGUUCUGUAUGGAAGGGCCAUCGCUCAACGGAUAAAAGGUACUCUGGGGAUAACAGGCUGAUACCGCCCAAGAGUUCAUAUCGACGGCGGUGUUUGGCACCUCGAUGUCGGCUCAUCUCAUCCUGGGGCUGUAGCCGGUCCCAAGGGUAUGGCUGUUCGCCAUUUAAAGAGGUACGUGAGCUGGGUUUAAAACGUCGUGAGACAGUUUGGUCCCUAUCUUCCGUGGGCGCUGCAGAUUUGAGGAAGCCUGCUCCUAGUACGAGAGGACCGGAGUGGACACACCUCUGGUGUAUCGGUUGUCACGCCAGUGGCAUUGCCGAGUAGCUAUGUGUGGAAGAGAUAACCGCUGAAAGCAUCUAAGCGGGAAACUCGUUUCAAGAUGAGAUCUGCCGGGGCCUUGAGCCCCCUAAAGAGUCGUUCAAGACCAGGACGUUGAUAGGUCGGGUGUGGAAGCGCAGUAAUGCGUUAAGCUAACCGAUACUAAUUGCUCGUGCGGCUUGACCCA